UACGUAGGAGGCGAGCGUUGUCCGGAUUUACGUGGGCGUAAAGCGCGCGCAGGCGGCACACUAAGUACGAUGUGAAAUCUCCCUGCUCAACGGGGAGGGUGGCAUAGUAAACUGGUGAGCUAGAGGACGGUAGAGGGGGGUGGAAUUGCUGGUGGUAGCGGUGAAAUGCGUAGAGAUCAGCAGGAACACCCGUGGCGAAGGCGGCCCCUGGCC
rnacentral:rRNA from 1 species